GAUGAACGCUGGCGGCGUGCCUAAUACAUGCAAGUCGAGCGAAUGGAUUAAGAGCUUGCUCUUAUGAAGUUAGCGGCGGACGGGUGAGUAACACGUGGGUAACCUGCCCAUAAGACUGGGAUAACUCCGGGAAACCGGGGCUAAUACCGGAUAACAUUUUGAACCGCAUGGUUCGAAAUUGAAAGGCGGCUUCGGCUGUCACUUAUGGAUGGACCCGCGUCGCAUUAGCUAGUUGGUGAGGUAACGGCUCACCAAGGCCACGAUGCGUAGCCGACCUGAGAGGGUGAUCGGCCACACUGGGACCGAGACACGGCCCAGACUCCUACGGGAGGCAGCAGUAGGGAAUCUUCCGCAAUGGACGAAAGUCUGACGGAGCAACGCCGCGUGAGUGAUGAAGGCUUUCGGGUCGUAAAACUCUGUUGUUAGGGAAGAACAAGUGCUAGUUGAAUAAGCUGGCACCUUGAUGGUACCUAACCAGAAAGCCACGGCUAACUACGUGCCAGCCGCCGCCGUAA
rnacentral:rRNA from 1 species